rnacentral:rRNA from 1 species
AGCGAACGCUGGCGGCAGGCCUAACACAUGCAAGUCGAGCGGACGUCGCAAGACGUCAGCGGCAGACGGGAGAGUAACACGUGGGAACGUACCCUUCGGUUCGGAAUAACCCAGGGAAACUUGGGCUAAUACCGGAUACGUCCGUAAGGAGAAAGAUUUAUCGCCGAAGGAUCGGCCCGCGUCCGAUUAGCUAGUUGGUGGGGUAAUGGCCCACCAAGGCGACGAUCGGUAGCUGGUCUGAGAGGAUGAUCAGCCUCACUGGGACUGAGACACGGCCCAGACUCCUACGGGAGGCAGCAGUGGGGAAUAUUGGACAAUGGGCGCAAGCCUGAUCCAGCCAUGCCGCGUGGGUGAUGAAGGCCCUAGGGUUGUAAAGCCCUUUCGGCGGGGAAGAUAAUGACGGUACCCGCAGAAGAAGCCCCGGCUAACUUCGUGCCAGCCGCCGCAGUAA